GCAGGAAAAACAAAGCCCCUUUGAGGAUACUUGCCUUUAUCCACAGGUGGCAGAAGGAACCUUAUAAGUGUCAAAGACAACCCAUUUAGACCUGACUUGGAGAUGACCAAAGGAAGGCAGGAUGAGUACCAACCAACCAAUAAAAAUGUUAUACCACUGCCAGUCUCCCCCCCAUCCUUAUUUCUGGCACAGUUAUUGCUGCAAAGGAGUUCUUCAUGUCAGUAACCUGGCCCCAGGAACUGACAGGCACAUCAGUUCUUCAGUGUACGAUCAGCACUAUCUAAGUGUUGACCCUAUCUAAGGGAUGGAGGUUUCUUUGUAGACUUUACUGGUCAAGGGUGGCUGAUCAUCUUCAGAGUUUGGCUUAUCAUUGCACACCAUAAACACUUUAUAUUUUACUAAGGAAAAACUGUCAGUUGUAGAUACUACUGAUUUAUAAGUGAGCCAACCUCAGAGGAGGAGGGUCUUACCUUUCUUUUUGGCAGCAUCUUGAUAAAUGUCACGGAAUUGAAAAGGUCAUAAAUCCUCAAACUCAGACCCUGCCUGAAAGGCCUGAGUGGAAAGGAAUGCUCCUAUUCUCAGUUCCUUGGGAGCCUGCUGGAUAUGAAAUUCGCUAUGAAAAAGAAGAUAAUAACAUAACACCAUUUGUAUUUAAAUGCAUUUUGGAAUGAAGCCCAGGAAAUCCCCAAGCUCCCCUAGUCAAACACUUGUCCACUUUUUCACAGAUUCUGUGCUCUGUGAAAACACUUGCAUUUUUGUUGUUAUCUUAGCGCCUUCUUUUCCUAAUUAGGUCGGUACCAUACAGCUUUCAGUCUGUCACGUUGUGAGAUACAACUGAGAUGGUGCAUUACAUGGCAAAGGCAGUUGCUGCAGCAGUCUGAGGCAAUACAGCUGUUUCCAAGGAAAUGAAGACAGCUGAGGAGCUGGUAUGAAUAAGUAAAUGAAGAUAUCAAGUACAACUGACUGCUGGAACAUUAGGAGAUGAUUAAUGACCCUUUAACACGUUAAAAAAAGGUGCCAAGGAAAGAAGUGAUGUAUCCUCUCUGGCUGAUCCCUGCUGUUGGAUGCUGUGGUCUCCAGAGCAACAUGGUGGACAUCACCCUAUGGUGCAGUGAGGGGCUGAUCCCCACAGGAGCUACAACCCAUCUCAGCAUCCCCAGCUCCUGCAAAGCCACAGGGCUCCCACACUCUCCACCAAGACAUUAACAAGGAAAACCUCACAGGCUCCUGAGCACAAAACCAAUCCUGUUCUGAUGAUAGGUCUGGGACCUCUGAAGAUGGAGCUGCAGGAUGCUUUGCAAGGACUGUGUAUUUCUUCACUACCAGGUGAGCAUGGAAACUUGAACAGUGUUGAAAUUUAGAGCAUUGCUCUAGCAAGGGCUCUCAGGGGUCAGCAAAACCCAUCCCCUGCUGCUAUAGGAAAGCACACCAUAAAACCCUUUAUAAAUGGAACAGUCUUUACAUUAUAGCUAUUUGCAAAGCUGAAUCAAACGUGGGUCCAGACCAGGAUGUUUAUAACAUCGUUUCCAGAUUAAAUUCACUCUGGGCAAUAAUAAUGAUUUUUGGCCUUUGUACUGGCUUGUCAGUGUUUUCUCACAGUCCCCACUGUUGGCCAAGAUCACACACGCACUUGGAAAUAAUGCAAGCCCUUGGUAUACGCAAUGGAGCACAGGUUAGCUUUCCAGUGAUUUAUUUUUGAUAAACUUCAUUGAGUAAAAAACUUCUACUGCUCCUAAUAAGUAGGUAUCCUCACUCCCUUCCAUUUCUAGAUUGCCUUAAGGUGUAACCUCAGGAAAAAUACAUUAUGGACUCAAGUCCUGAGCUCAUGAAUACUACUCUUACGGCAGUAAGUUCAAGAUAUGAAACAAACUCUUAAGAGUUUGGCUGGAUAGUACAGCAGGUAAUGGGAAGCAUUUCAGGGCAUUGCUGUAGAAAAACCCUUUCUAGCAGCUGAGAAUCCACAAAGCCCCAUAGUACAGGUUGUGACAUUAGACACCUUCAACUGGAAAAGAAAAUACAAUAUUAGUCAGGGCUUCAACAGCCCUUCAAUAUGUCAUUGGUUUUAUUUGGACUGAAUCUCAAGUAGGUCACUCUGCUGUAUUCUCGUUCAAUGCUAUAUUUUGCUUUAACUGGUUUAUCCGAAGAAUCAAUCUCUAUAAUAUAGUAAGAGUUUUGGUAACUCUGGAAGGAAUUUCUGCUUCUGACUGGUAGAGAAAGAAGAAUGCAAAAGUUUUAAAUCAGUUCACAUCAGGACACUUUAAACUCUGCCCAGUAAAAGCUUUGCAGCAUAACUUGUCUUUCCUGGGAAAUUUUACUAUGAAUACUUAGUAGGAGAUGUCAACACUGAAGUAUCAAGGCUGCUGGUCAAAAAAAAUCUUGUGUCACCUUCUCUUAUCUAGUUUUUAUUUAGGAAGAUGCAUGCAGGAGUUUCUGGCAUGCCAGAUCCAGCCUGAGCUGGUGACAAUAGUAGGUAAUUGCCAGCAAACCACUUAGUGCAUUUUAAUAAUGUCUGAAGAGCUUCCCAAAUCCUCAGGCAUGUCUCUCACUAACAUAAACAUUUUCAAUAUUUAAUUUAGAUGAUGCCAAGGAAGACUGCUGUCCUCUCUUGCCAACUGAAAGAUUGUGAACAGGUCUCACGAGCACUAGGGCGAACAGCAGUAAUGACCUGCCUUGAUGGCAAGGGAGGACAGCCCUUGUGAUCAUCCACUAUCACAGUGAGAGUGGAGCAAAGAGCUGGGUUUUGAAUCCACUUUAGAGGGUUAUUUUUCACCCUGCAGCUUUGUAUUGCAGCAAAUGAGCUUCAGCCUGUUUCAGCCAGUGUAAGCUGGUGUGGCUUCAGUGGUUACAUAUUUCAUAGGCCAUUGAUUGAAGUGCUCUUACAGUCCUUUCCCCUUCUGAAUGAAUGUUUAUCCCCUGAAGGCUUCUUCAAAGGACCCAGGAACAAAGGUUUCAACUUAAGAAAACAUUUGUGCAGGUCCACAGAAACAGGUUUGCUCUGCACGCCAGAUAAGCACGUACUUAAGCACAUUAGAGAUUACAGCAUGAAAACAUGCAGUGUUCUGUACAUACCUGAGUGUGCAGCUGGAUAGGAACAGGCUGUUCUAAAAUUAAUUAUAAAAUGAUGCAGGAUGUCCAUGUCUGUAUCUUGGCACCUAUCUUAUUUUCCUUCCUUUUUUUUCCCUCUUCUGCUUAUGCAAGUAAUCCAUUAAAUAGCAAUACCCAAGAAAGAAUCAGUAUUGUGUCAGAAAAGCACCUUCUCCCUUGUGCCAUUAAUUUUCUUUUCUUUCUCAUCUGUGAGCAUCAUUUAGCAUUUCUUCCUCUCCCAGUGAGCUCCUAACGCCUUUCUGCUUGAGUGCUAUGGUUACUGCAUUGCUUCUACUGAUUUUAGAAAAUAAGUGUGGUUUGUUUUUUAAUGCCCACUUCUGUCAGGUAUUAAGUGCUGUCCAAGGCAAGUCUGAUAAAUAGUGAAAUAAAAUCAGACCUGAUCUAUGUUCCUUCUGCAGAAUAAAGAGGUAAUAUUUGCAGCAAUUUGAAUUGUGGUGUAAAAGCGCAGGGUGAGAUUCCGCAGUGCAGACUGUGUGCUUGUGUAGGCUCCUGUUCCUUUGCGUUUCUAGGCUGUCCCACCUAUUCUAGUUCUGUUUCGGGAGCUUGGGAGGGCAGGCAGUGGGUUGUGUGAGGUACACAGCAGCUGUAUCUGGACGACCAAGGGCCAAGAUUGCAUUGGUCAGCAUCCUUCAGUGGGUGAAGCAGUGGAUGACUUCAGGGAUGGGAGGGAUAGGUUGUCUUCUCAAAAUGAUAGCAGUAUUACUGAGAUCUUUAUCCCCAGCAGAAAUGCUGUGCUGCUCAUCAGGCCUUGUAGAUAUCUAUCUUAAUACAUCAGGCCUCAUAAAUGCGUAUCUUGAAAACUUACUCACUAUAAUCUAUUGGAGACUGUGUGGAGGGAAAGCAUCUAGCUCCAGACAUGCUGUUGCUCACAAUUUCUAAGCUGGUUGUAGUUAUUUCUAGGUAAAACAUUAAUCGUGAUGAAUUGUUUUUUUAAUGCUUGGGAUAUGUGAAUCUAAAGAGCUAAAUUUUAACAUAUUAUUAAGGAAAUGCUGAUUCCUGCCAUUAACCAGUGUUUUAAAAAGAUUUAACACAGACUGUAUGAGGCAAAGUGCUUUCAUAAUAGUGCAGUUUUCUAUUUGUUAUAUUUUCCAGUGUUCCUCCACCUUGAGUUGUGGUUAUAUUGUUAUAUCCCUUUCGAUUUCAUUACCUUUACCAAUCGUUUUAAUUCCCCUGUCCAGAGUGGAUGGGUGGCAAAGGCUGUGCAAGACACCCAUGCUUUGAAAUGACAAGAACUGGAAACGACGUGACCUCUUUGGAUAAAAUACCAUAGGCAUUGCUUUACAAACCACUGGGGAAAAGUGGUUUUGGAGAUUGUCCUUCCCUCCAAUGGAAAAAAAAGGGGAAAAUCACCUUAACAGCAAAGGCCCCUUAUGUGUUGCAGCACAAGAGGGCAGUGUUACGUUGGAUUGAGUCGCACAAGGGUGCGAUUAGCAUGGGAACACUUGGUGGCUGAUUAAUUUAGCCUAUUUGCGAAGAGGCGUCCGCUCGGGAAGAGACAGAGUCCAGCUCCUACCUGGUGGAAGAGGUAGCCAAGCUCAUAAACCACCUUCUUCAUCUGGUUCAGUGUCAGCUGCUGUGGACACUGCUGGGCAGGGCAUGUUGGGGCACAGGUCUUGCUCUGGGGUCCCAACAGCCACCCUGACCCUCACGGUGUGACUUACAGUGUCUGUUUCUGCCCACUGAGAUUUCCAAUCCUACCUUCGGCACAGGGUUGCAUUGGUGGCACUUACCUGGAAGCUCAGGAGAUCAG